AUGGCCACUACGAGUGCUUGCUCCCUAUGCGGAGGGCAGGAUAGCUGGCGGCAUUCUUUGCUGGAGUGUAAUGUGUCUAGGUGUGUGUGGGCACUUUCAGAAGCCGAGAUGGUCGAGCACAUGUGGGCAACCUCAGAACCUAACGCACGGCUGUGGCUCUUUGCCAUGAAUGACUCUCUUCCACCAGAGCAAUUUCAGUUGAUGAUUGUUACUUUAUGGGCGAUUUGGAGUGCAAGACGGAAAGCUAUACAUGAGGAUAUAUACCAGACUCCGUUUGCCACUGACAACUUCAUCAAAGCUUACUUAUCAGACAUAGAGUUUUUGAAGAAGAAGAAGGAGGAAGCACAUGGGAUAGCAGUACCACGACCCCGUACGUGGAUUCCAUCACCAACAGAUUACUACAAACUCAAUGUGGACGCGGCCGUGUCACGCCCAGGUACGUUUGGCGCAGUUGGUGUGGUUUGCAGGGAUGAGAGAGGUUUGUUCAUGGGAGCGUCAGCUCUCGUUUUCAGAGGACUGCACAACCCCCAAGUGCUAGAAGCACUAGCUGUUCGGGAGGCAUUAGCACUUUCAGAAGAUCUCUAUAUCAACCAUUUACUUGUUGCCUCCGAUUGCAAAGUGGUGGUAGAUGCAAUCAGACAGGAAAGCUCAGCAGAAUUUGGAGCCAUUGUCGAGGAAAUCAACACUAGAGCAACUACCUUUAUUUCAUGUUCGUUUACUCAUGAGUAUAGGACCUCCAAUACGGAGGCCCAUAAUCUCGCAAAGCAUGCGUUAUCUUUAGAAUUUGGCCGACGCACUUGGCUAGGACAACCCGGCGAUCUUCUUUUUGUACCUAUGAACAUUAUGAUUCAGUAA
rnacentral:rRNA from 1 species